rnacentral:tRNA from 1 species
GCGCCGGUGGUGUAAAGGCGUAGAGCAUUCCCGCCAAGUCAAAGGGAGGUGCGGGUUCGAGUCCUGCCUGGCGCU